UUGUAUCCAGAUUUUAUAUCCUGCCCUAUGCCAUUGUCGACUUGCUUAGGUACAUAAUUGUUAUGUCUUGCAAUCUGGUAUUGAUGAUUGUCAAUGUAUUUAUUUACACCUUUCUAGUGUUUUUACCUUGCAUGUGACCCAGCUAGUCUGUAUAUCAAUGCUCUGUUUCCAAUAGAUGUAUGCUGAUGCCUGAUGGCUGAUUCCUUAAAACUUCACUGUUGCAAUAGCAUUUUUCCUUAGUGCUUCAAACCUUGCUCUCUUUCCCAGGAACCAUCAUCGUCUGUGUCACUACUGGGGCAGGAGAGGAAAGACUGUUGUUGUCUCCAGGAAGCGAUAAACUGCUUCACAAAGAUCCCCGCAUAGCUUCACUACUACUGUGUUGGUCCAUUUCCAGAAUGGUAAGGAUGAUGCUUUUGCUUAAGGAGAGGCUCAAGAAGAUCAGGUAUAAACUCCUCCCCCUCUUGUUUGUUUUUGCUUCAUACUGUUUGGUGGUUGAUACAUUACUGUGCAAGUUCUUUGGUAUGUGAGUUCUUUCUGUUGCUGCAAGCAUUGACACAAUAUGUCAUGUGCAGGGAGCUUCGCAUCCGAGUUUCAGCCAUCCUCUACAGCAAGGAGCUCUGGGCCAAAGGAGCAACCAGCACUGCUAGUUCCUUGAGGCCAGAUCGAGUAAGAUG
rnacentral:lncRNA from 1 species